rfam:Papilio xuthus contig15953, whole genome shotgun sequence.
AUCUUUGGUUAUCUAGCUGUAUGAGUAUUGAGACAUCAUAAAGCUAGGUUACCGGAGUU